rnacentral:rRNA from 1 species
AGCAGCCGCGGUAAUUCCAGCUCCAAUAGCGUAUAUUAAAGUUGUUGCAGUUAAAAAGCUCGUAGUUGAAUUUCGAGACCGGUCUACUGGUCGUGCUUUCGUACGUACUGGUAUAAUCGGUUUCUCUCUUCUGACGAACUAUAAUGCCAUUAAUUUGGUGUUUUAGGGAAUCAGGACUGUUACUUUGAAAAAAUUAGAGUGUUUAAAGCAGGCUCACGCUUGAAUACAUUAGCAUGGAAUAACGAAGUAGGACGUCUGAUUCUAUUUUGUUGGUUUCUAGGAUCGACGUAAUGAUUAAUAGGGAUAGUUGGGGGCAUUAGUAUUCAAUUGUCAGAGGUGAAAUUCUUGGAUUUAUUGAAGACUAACUACUGCGAAAGCAUUUGCCAAGGAUGUUUUCAUUAAUCAAGAACGAAAGUUAGGGGAUCGAAGACGAUCAGAUACCGUCGUAGUCUUAACCAUAAACUAUGCCGACUAGGGAUCGGAUGAUGUUAAUUUUUAAUGACUCAUUCGGCGCCUUACG